CUCUCUCUCUCUCUCUCUCCCCCAGAACUGGAACCCUAGCCGGCCGCUAUUCCCCCUCUCGCCUUGCCCAGAUCCACCCCCCUCUCCCCUCAACUCGGUCCCGAGCUCGACCGAGCGAGCUCGUCGCCGCUGGCCUCCAUUCCCGCGGCCACCUUCGUUCCCGCACCGCGCCUCCCUGUCCGUUCGCUCCGCCGACAUCAUCUACAUCGAAUACAAGCCGUCGCUGGAGCCCCUCGUGCCGGAGCAACCGGAUCGAGCCGGUCUUCCUCCACUGCUCCGCUGUCGCCAUCGCCGGAAUCCGCGCCGCCGCGAGCACCUCGAGUCCUCCCCAGGCCUUCUCUGCAGAGACCAUGGUGGAGCCCAGGAGCCAGAUACUACCGCCGAUGACUACUACUACCCCAACGGAGCCUACUUCUACGUGAAGACUGCCGACGACAAGGAGUAGUUAGGAGGCUCCCAGGCAGGAGGCCUUGCCUUUUCGAUCGAUGUUGCUUUUGUGCUAGCCUUCUUAAGGCAAACUUGUUCAACUUAUGUCUGUACUAAGAUAUUAUUGCUUCCACUAACUCUUGUGUAUUUGUAAUAUAAAGCUUGUAUUAUUUUAA